UACGGAGGGUGCGAGCGUUGUCCGGAAUCACUGGGCGUAAAGGGCGCGUAGGUGGCUCGUGAAGCGUGCGGUGAAAGUCCGAGGCUCAACCUCGGAUCGGCCGUGCGGACUCGCGGGCUCGAGCGUUGUAGAGGCGGGUGGAAUUCCGGGUGUAGCGGUGGAAUGCGUAGAUAUCGGGAAGAACACCAGUGGCGAAAGCGCUCUACUGGGCCAUAACUGACACUGAGGGACGAAAGCUAGGGGAGCGAAAGGG
rnacentral:rRNA from 1 species